GCCAAUACAGCACUCUAGCUCAGUGGGUAGAGCAUUAGACUCUUAAACUCAGGGUUCGAGCCCCAUGUUCGGCA